AGUCGUUUGGGGAUGGGAGGGACCUGGGGGGGGGUCCCUGGAGUCAGAGGUGCCACCACGCGUCCCCCGUGUCCCCAGAGCACCCUCAGUGGCCACGUCCUGGUGCCGGAUCCCUUCCUGGUGCAUGACAGCCAGCAGGAACGUCACUUUGGCUUCAGCCUGGCCGAGGCCCUGCGCCGCGCCCGCCAUCACCCCCUGCUCCAGGGCUACGAGGUCCACGUCACCCCCCAGCGUCCACCCUGAGCCCGAGCUCAUGAGGGACAUCAUCACCUGCAGCUGGUGGCACCUUCCUGCCCACCAUGCCACGCACCUAUGGGCCACAGCGCCUGGUGAUCUCCUGCGAGGCGGACAAAGGGUGCUGGGCCCCGGCGCUGGGCGCCCGCCUGCCCCUGGUAUCAGCCGAGCUGCUGCUGACGGGACUCCUGCGACAGCAGCUCCAGCUCCAGCCCUUCCUCCUCCUCCCCGUGACCCCCCCCCGUUCUCACGGGACCCCCCCAAAUCCCCCCAAGGUUUCUACAGUCCCUCCGGGGGUCCUUAGUCACCCCCCCGAGGAUCCCCAGGGUAUUCCCGGGUCCCCCCGAGAAUCCAGGAAGGUGUCGGGACG